rnacentral:rRNA from 1 species
AAGGGCCGGCUAACCCUGUGCCAGCAGCCGCGGUAAUACAGGGGGGCCCGAGCGUUACGCGGAAUCACUGGGGCUUAAAGGGGUGCGUAGGCGGUUCGGAAAGCAUUACGUGAAAGCCCCCGGCUCAACCGGGGAACUGCGCGAUGUACUACCGAACUUGAGACAGGUAAGCGACGAGGGAACAGUGGGUGGAGCGGUGAAAUGCGUAGAGAUCCACUGGAAACGCCGAUGGUGAACGAUGCUCGUCUGGGCCUGUUCUGACGCUGAGGCACGAAAGCGUGGGGAGCAACAGGAUUAGAUACCCUGGUAGUACCACGCCGUAAACGAUGAUGACUGGACCGGUGCGGGUCUUACCCCGUAAUUCGGUCCGAAAGCGAAAGCGUUAAGUCAUCCGCCUGGGAAGUACGGUCGCAAGACUAAAACUCAAAUGAAUUGACG